AUGAAGUUAUAUGUGUUUCUGGUUAACACUGGAACCACGCUGACAUUUGACACUGAGCUAACUGUGCAAACUGUGGCUGAUCUUAAGCAUGUCAUUCAAAGCAAAUACAAGAUUGCUAUUCAGCACCAGGUUCUAGUGGUCAAUGGAGAAGAAUGCAUAGCUGCAGAUCAAAGAGUGUGUACUUACAGCUCUGGGACGGACACAAAUUCAAUUUUUCUUUUUAACAAAGAAAUGAUCUUAUGUGACCGUGCACCUGCUAUUCCUAAAACUACCUUUUCAACAGAAAAUGACAUGGAAAUAAAAGUUGAAGAGUCUUAUGAUGGCUGCAGUUUUCCACACUGUUGCUUCAAGGACACAGCUUGCAGUGGAAAUAUAUGAUGUUUCCAAGAAGCUCUGCUCUUUCUGUGAAGGGCUUGUCCAUGAUGAACAUCUUCAGCACCAAGGCUGGGCUGCAAUCAUGGCCAAUCUGGAGGACUGCUCAAAUUCAUACCAAAAACUUCUUUUCAAGUUUGAAAGUAUUUAUUCUGAUUAUCUUCAAUCCAUAGAAGACAUCAGGUUAAAACUUACUCAUUUAGGAACUGCUGUUUCAGUAAUGGCCAAGAUUCCACUAUUGGAGUGCCUAACCAGACAUAGUUACAGGGAAUGUUUGGGAAGACCGGAUUCUUUGAAUGAACACGAAGGCUCAGAGAAAGCGGAGACGAAAAGAUCUACUGAACUGGUGCUCUCUCCUGAUAUGCCUAGAACAACGAACACAUCCUUAUUAACCUCACUUCACAAGUCAAUGGAGCAUGUAGCUCCAGAUCCCACCGAUACUGAACGUGGCAAAGAACUCAAGGAAUCUUGUCAAAGUACUGUCCGGCAAGAAGAAGCUUCAGUAGAUGCUAAAGACAGUGAUCUGCCUUUUUUUUUUUUUUUAAUGUUUCUGGAUUAAAUUAGACAGACUGGAUAAAUGCUCAAGAUAGACCUAAUGAUGUGGAAUCUCUGGUCAGGAAGUGCUUUGAUUCUAUGAGCAGGCUUGACCCAAAGAUUAUUCAACCAUUUAUGUUAGAAUGCCAUCAAACUAUUGCUAAACUUGAUGAUCAGAAUAUGAAAGCCAUUAAAGGGCUUGAAGAUCGGCUAUAUGCCUUGGAGCAGAUGACUGCUAGCUGUAGCCGGCUGGUAAAUGAACAGAAAGAGCUUGCUCAGGGAUUUUUAGCUAAUCAGAUGAGAGCUGAAAACUUGAAGGAUGCAUCCGUGUUACCUGAUUUGUGUCUGAGUCAUGAAAAUCAACUAAUGAUUAUGUUACAAAACCACAGAAAACUGUUGGAUAUUAAACAGAAGUGUACCACUGCCAAACAAGAGCUAGCAAACAAUCUUCAUGUCAGACUGAAGUUGGUGUUGUUUUGUGAUGCUUCAUGAGGAUCAAGAUGCAGAAAACCUGCAGGCACUGCUCCACCUUGUGAUAGAGCUUUAAGAAAGAGAAUUGUUGAGGCUCUUAGUACAGUUCCUCAGAUGUAUUGCCUAGCUGUUGUUGAGGUUGUAAGGAGAAAAAUGUUCGUUAAACACUACAGAGAGUGGGCUGGUGCUUUAGUCAAAGAUGGAAAACAAUUAUAUGAAGCUGAAAAGUCAAAAAGGGAAUACUUUGGGAAAUUAUUCAGGAAGUCCUUUUUAAGAAAUCAUCUGUUUAAAGGACUGGACUCCUGGCCUUCCUCAUUUUGUACUCAGAAGCCUCGAAAAUUUGACUGUGAACUUCGAGAUAUAUCAUUAAAAGAUUUACAGUUUCUUCAAUCAUUUUGUCCUUCAGAAGUGCAGCCAUUCCUCAGGGUCCCCUUACUUUGUGACUUUGAACCUCUACACCAGCAUGUACUUGCCCUACAUAAUUUGGUAAAAGCAGCACAAAGUUUGGAUGAAAUGUCACAGACUAUUACACAUCUCCUGAAUGAACAAAAGGUAUCCACAAGUCGGGCAUCCCCGCAGUCAGCUGCUUCUCCAAGAAUAGAAAGUACAACAGGUAUUACAGCUACUGCCUCACCAAAAACUCCUCCACUAACUGUUCUGGAUACCUAAUGUCCAGCAGUGUGUCCCUUAGAAGAAUUAUCUCCAGAUAUUAUCGAUGCUCAUACAUUUGAUUUUGAAACCAUUUCUCAUCCAAACACAGAACAAACUGUUCACCAAGCUUCUAUAGACUUGGAUUCAUUAGCAGAAAUCCCCGAGUCUGACUUUAUGGCUGCUGUGAAUGAGUUUGUGAUAGAAGAGAAUUUAUCGUCUUCAAACCCUAUAAGUGAUCCACAAAGUCCAGAAAUGAUGGUGGAGUCACUUUACUCUUCAGUCAUCAAUGCAAUAGAUAGUAGGUGUAUGCAAGAUACAAGUACACGUGGAAACAAGUGCUUUGGGGAUCGGGCUACUCUACAGGUCCAGCUGGAGAAAUGCAGAGCUGCUGCGCAAGACUCUCAAAGCAGUAUACAAACCAUCAAGGAUGAUCUGUGCCAUUUCAGAACAUUUGUACAAAAAGAACAGUGUGACUUAGCAAAUUGUUUAAAAUGCACAGCUGUAGAAAUAAGAAAUAUUGUUGAAAAAGUAAAAUGUUCUCUAGAAAUAGCACUAAAGGAAAAGCAUCAGCAAGAACUCCAAUCUUUAAAAAUUGAGUAUGAAUGUAAACUUGAUGCUCUAGCAAAAGACAGUGAAGAAAAUGUAAAUAAAAUUUUAAAAUUGAAAGAAGAUUUAGUAUCCCUUGUAGAGGCUUCGCAAAAUAAAGACAAUGAAUUCACUUCAGCUAAACAUGAAAAGGAUGCUAUUGUCUGUGUGCAGCAAGAAAAGGAUCAGAAGUUGUUAGAGAUGGAAAAUAUAAGGCAUACUCAAAAUUGUGAAAUUAAAGAACUGAAGCAGUCAUGAGAGAUGGUGUUAGAAGACCUGAAAAAGCUGCAUGAUGAAAAAAUAGAGUCAUUGAGAGCUGAAUUUCAGUGCUUAGAACAAAAUCACCUGAAGGAAUUAGAGAACACACUGCACAUCAGGCACACCCAGGAGUUUGACAAACCACAAUGUGUCUUUGGAGAAAUUUAAAAAAAAAAGAAAAUCAGCAAAGAAUUGACCAGGUGCUAGAAUCUCAUGCCUCAACUAUUCAGGAAAAAGAGCAACAGCUGCAGGAGUUGAAACUCAAAGUUUCUGACUUGUCAAACAUGAGAUAUAAGUUAGAGGUUGAACUUGCACUAAAGGAAGCAGAUACAGAUGAGAUAAAGAUCUUGUUGGAGGAGAGCAGAACACAGCAGAAGGAAAUGCUGAAGUCUUUACUUGAACAAGAGACCGAAAAUUUAAGAACAGAAAUAAGUAAACUAAACCAAAAAAAAUCAUGAUACUAAUGAGAGGUACCAGGUGGGUUUGUCAGUUAAGAGCUUUAAUGACAACUGAAAAAGAUCAGUGCAUUUCGAGUUAAUCAGUAGACAUGAAGAAGAAUCUAAUAUACUCAAGGCUGAAUUAGACAAUGUUACAUCUUUGCAUCACUGAGUGUUUGAAAUAGAAAAAACAAAAAAAAAACAAAAAACUGAAAGAACAAAUAGUUGAAUUGCAGACUAAAUUGAACUCAGAAUUGAGUGCUCUUGAAAAACAAAAAGAAGAAAAAAUAACCCAACAAGAAGAGAAGUAUGAAGCACUUAUGCAGAACCUUGAGAAAGUCAAGGAGAGAUUGGUCAUGAACCACGAGCAAGACAAAGAACAGUUAAUUCAGGAGCUUAAUUUUGAAAAAAACAAAGCGGUUCAAACUGCACUAGAUGAAUUUAAAUUGGAGAGAGAACUUGUUGAGAAAGAGUUAUUAGAAAAAGUUAAACAUCUUGAGAAACAAAUAGCCAAAAGUCCUGCCUUUGAGUCAGCCAGAGAAGAUUCUUCAAGCUUAGCUGCGGAACUUCAAGAGGAACUUCAAGAAGAAAAAGCUAAGUUUCUGGAACAACUUGAAGAACAAGAGAAAAGAAAGAAUGAAAAAAUGCAAAAUGUCAGAACCUCUUUGAUUGCUGAGUAUCAGACCAACUUUAACACAGUCUUAACGAGAGAAAAUGAGGAAAGAAAACAUAAUAAAUGAUCUUUAGUGAUAAGCUAAAAAGUACAAUGCAGCAGCAAGAGCGGGAUAAAGAUUUGAUAGAGUUGCUCUCUGAGGAUCGAGCUCCUUUGCUUGAAGAGAGGAAGCAGCUUGAAGAGGAAGUGAGCAAACUCCGCACUAGCAGUUUUCUUUCCUCAGCACCUGUGGCUGCAGCCCCAGAGCUUUAUAGUGCGUGUGCACCUGAGCUCCCAGGUGAGCCAGAGAGAUCAGUCAUGGAGAAGGCAGAUGAAGGAAGAACGGAUUCAGCAAUGGAGACAAGCAUGAUGUCUGUCCAAGAAAGCAUGUUAUCUGAAGAGAAGCAGAGGAUCAUGCUCCUAGAACGGACAUUGCAGUUGAAAGAAGAAGAAAACAGCGGUUAAAUCAAAGACUCAUGUCUCAGAGUUUGUCCUCAGUCUGUUCAAGGCAUUCUGAAAAAAUAGCCAUUAGAGAUUUUCAGGUGAGAGAUUUGGUUCUCAUCAUCCCAGAUGAGCGGCAUGACAACUAUGUAUUGUUUACUGUUAGUCCUACUUUGUAUUUUCUGAAUUCAGAGUCUCUUCCUGCCCUGGAUCUCAAACCAGCUUCAGGUGCAUCUAGAAGACCCUGGGUCCUUGGGAAAGUAAUGGAAAAGGAGUACUGUCAAGCCAAAAAGGCACAAAACAGAUUUAAAGUUCCUUUGGGGACAAAGUUUUACAGAAUGAAAGCUGUGUCAUGGAAUAAGGAAGUAUAG
rnacentral:lncRNA from 1 species